rnacentral:tRNA from 1 species
GCGAGUAUGGCGGAAUAGGCAGACGCAACAGACUUAAAAUCUGUCGGUUUUAACGACCGUAUCGGUUCAACUCCGAUUACUCGCACCA